GUGAAAUAAUUGUAUAGAUUGCAAAUCUUGAGUAAGGGUUACCUGUUUCAUU
rnacentral:tRNA from 1 species